UACGGAGGAUGCAAGCGUUAUCCGGAAUGAUUGGGCGUAAAGCGUCCGCAGGUGGCUGUGUAAGUCUGCUGUCAAAGAGCAAAGCUCAACUUUGUAAAGGCAGUGGAAACUACACGGCUAGAGUGCGUUCGGGGCAGAGGGAAUUCCUGGUGUAGCGGUGAAAUGCGUAGAGAUCAGGAAGAACACCAACGGCGAAAGCACUCUGCUGGGCCGAAACUGACACUGAGAGACGAAAGCUAGGGGAGCAAAUGGG
rnacentral:rRNA from 1 species